ACAUACAGCUAUGGAGAUGGACCAUGGCCUUGGAGAAAACAGGGAAAAGAAAAAGCCACUAUUGUGUCAUCACCAUUACAGACAAAUGACAAGGGCACUGGGGAAAGGGAUGUUGCCCAAAGCCAGAUCU